rnacentral:rRNA from 1 species
AUGGCUGCCUCGCCAUCUUCGACCCUUGUGAGCCCUCCUCGCGUUGACCUCGACGGGGACGACCCAAGCACGCUGGUUCGUGGCACGCCGGAGUGGCUGCGGUGCGCGGGCCUUGUCCGUCGCGCGCUUGAGGCUAACGGAUGUGUCGCCGUCGGGUGUCGCCGCCGCAUACCGCCGGAGCUGCGGGAGCGGAUGCUCGUGGCGAUGGCGGAGCUGUCCGCGCUCCUGCCCGAGACGAAGCGCCGGACCGGCGCCGCGGACGGCCCGUACAGGGCGUACAUGGAGAAGCGGGACUCCGCCGCGUGCCAUCACGAGGCGUUCGGGGUUCUCAACGCGGCCCUCGGCGUCUGCCAGGAGGCCCGCGCGUUUGUUGCGCGCGCCUGGCCGCAGGGCAACAAUCGUUUCCUGGAGACGCUGACUUCGACGGCCGGGGAGAUGGAGAGGCUGGCCUGCGUGAUCCUCGCCAUGGUCGUCGACAGCUACGGCCUCUCACACCGCUCUGACGAGAUGGUCGCCGCCACGGACACCAACUUCCGCAUGCUCACGUACUACAACGACACCACGCGGACGUCGUCGUCGGACGGGUAG